rnacentral:rRNA from 1 species
AUUGAACGCUGGCGGCAGGCCUAACACAUGCAAGUCGAGCGGGGUUUUCGGACCUAGCGGCGGACGGGUGAGUAAUGCGUAGGAAGCUACCCGAUAGAGGGGGAUACCAGUUGGAAACGACUGUUAAUACCGCAUAAUGUCUACGGACCAAAGUGUGGGAUCUUCGGGCCACAUGCUAUCGGAUGCGCCUACGUGGGAUUAGCUAGUUGGUGAGGUAAUGGCUCACCAAGGCGACGAUCCCUAGCUGGUUUGAGAGGAUGAUCAGCCACACUGGACCUGAGACACGGUCCAGACUCCUACGGGAGGCAGCAGUGGGGAAUAUUGGACAAUGGGCGCAAGCCUGAUCCAGCCAUGCCGCGUGUGUGAAGAAGGCCUUCGGGUUGUAAAGCACUUUCAGUAGGGAGGAAGGGUGUUGUGUUAAUAGCACAGCAUUUUGACGUUACCUACAGAAGAAGCACCGGCUAACUCUGUGCCAGCCGCCGCGGUAAAAC